UAUCCUGAGAAUGAACCCCAACCCUGAGUGCUGCCUUGUCUUAGAGGAGAGUUGUAUCACUGGGCCUGAGACAAACCUGUUCCCUUGGCUUUUGUUUUCUGGAAGCCGCGUUCCCUGAGAGAAUUUCCAUAGAGAGGAGGAGGGAGAAAUGAGAACCCCUGAACCAGGAAUGUGGCUCUGCCCCCUGGAGCCACGCCAAAGGUAGGACUGCCUGGGCACAAGAGAUCUUUCUGAGAUGAUGAAACUGUUCCGAAAUUGGAUUAUGGUAGGCCUGGGACCCUUGCCUCACUUCCUCACUGUGCUCCAGGUAAGUGACAGGUGGUAAUGGAGGAGUGCAGCUGGGAGGCAGAUCCAAGGCAUAGAGUUCCCUCCCUGGGAAAAGAAUCCACCACCCCAGAGGUGUUCCCAAAGCAGCAUAUCCACCAGCCUUCAAGGACCCGCACCAGCUCGGACCACAACUACAUCUCAGCUAUCAUCAGAGGCAUCCAAGGCUAGAAGGACCACCCCAUAUAUUUUGUUCAGAGAGCUCAUCCGGAGAGUGCACUUUGAUUGGAGGAGAGGGAAGUUAUUUAGGGCUGCUGGGCCCAGAGCCGCGAGCCUCUGACACCCCAGGUCAGCAGUGUGGGUCUCCAAAGGAGAGAUGAACUUUACCUAGGGGCCAGCCAAGCCCUCCUCAACAAUUAUCCUGGACGUGCCAACAAUCUCUUACUGAGGAUUCCUUACAAGAAGUGGUCUGAUCAAAGAAGUCCUGCCACUUGUGUUUGCUCUCCAUUCUACCUACUAUCAAAGCUCUCCGAGGGGAGGAACACUUACUAGAACCCCUCACUGUCCUCUACCGAUUUUCCACACCUCUCUUCCCAGGGCAGGGUCUUCUGGAUUCUGAAGAAAACAAUUGGGUCAAGGAAUUUGCCCCUCACCAGACUCAAUUUAAUUCAGUACAACAAACAUUUGUUGAGUACCUGCUGUGUGCUCAUUGAGUUACAGUAGAGGCAAACAGUUGUUUGGAGGUAAAUGAUCAGUUUCAUUUCCAACCUCUGAUUUCAGUGUCAAUGUCUCUAGUAGUGUGAUUUAAAUAGGAAAGAGGUGGGAAGGCAAAGACCAGUUUCACUGCACUCAGAGCAAAGAGCUGUACAGUAGAUGUGACUUACAGCUAUUUGAAAAGGACUGGUGAAGAACUGAGUAUAAGCACUGAACAGGGAGUCACUAAGAACUCUGUUUUACAGAAGCAUUUACAGUCCGUCUCACAUCAAAUUCACAUCAAAAUUCUGGGUAAAUUUUGAUCUGUACCACUAUCUUCAGUCAGGGUUUUCCAAGAAAACCAUCUUCAAGUUCAUAGAGCAGAAGUUAGAUUUGAAUUUGCAUUAAUGUGUAUUUUUCAUGGACAAUUUAUGCAAUUAUAUGUAAUCAGAUGUCAUUGAAAAUAUGGUUGGACUGGGCAGGC